ACUCAAGCGUUAUCCGGAUUUAUUGGGCGUAAAGCGCAUGUAGGAGGUUUUGUGCGUCCUUGGUUAAAGCCCACCGCUCAACGGUGGAANUGCCCGGGAUACGGCAGAACUAGAGGGAGUUAGAGGUGAAUGGAACCCACGGUGUAGGGGUGAAAUCCGUUGAUAUCGUGGGGAACACCAAAGGCGAAGGCAGUUCACUGGGACUUUCCUGACUCUGANAUGCGAAAGCGUGGGGAGCAAAAAGGAUUAGAUACCCUUGUAGUCCACGCCCUAAACGAUGCCUGUUAGCUGUUUCGAGUAUCGACCCUCGGGGUGGCGUUAGCUAACGCGUUAAACAGGCCGCCUGGGAAGUUACGAACGCAAGCUUAAAACUCAAAGGAAUAGACGGGGACUCCCCACAAGCGGUGGAACAUGANGUUUUAAUUCGACGGUACGCGAAGAACCUUACCAGGUUUUGAAAUUCUAGUUGAAACCCGUGGAAACAUUGCCUCUCUCCAGGACCUAUUCAGUGCUGCAUGUU
rnacentral:rRNA from 1 species